CCGUGCAGCCGGGGAGUUAGCGGUGCCCUGUACCUGCAAUCCGCUCUAGCAGGGGUGUUGUCUCACCGAGGGUCCUGGCCGGACGGGCUGCCCGAGGUACGUGGCGUUGAUGCCCGGGUCUCAUGCAACGGGGACUCGUGAACCGUGUCAGGUCGGGAACGAAGCAGCACUAAGCGAGCUCUUCCGUGUGCCGUGAGGUCGCCUGGGUUGAGCUUACGACCGCGGUAACGCCGGAAGGACCGGAUUCGAAGUGAGGCGCACGG
rnacentral:SRP_RNA from 1 species